rfam:Pan troglodytes isolate Yerkes chimp pedigree #C0471 (Clint) chromosome 3, whole genome shotgun sequence.
GCUGGGCAUGGUAGCAUAUGCCUGUAGUCCUAGCUGCUUGGGAGGCUGAGGCAGGAGGAUCACUUGAGCCUAGGAGUUUGAGGCUGCAGUGAGCUAUGAUUUUGCCAUUACACUCCAUCCUAGGUGACAGAGUGAGACCCUGUCUCUA